CCUACGGGAGGCAGCAGUGGGGAAUAUUGCACAAUGGGGGAAACCCUGAUGCAGCGACGCCGCGUGAGUGAAGAAGGAAUUCGGUAUGUAAAGCUCUAUCAGCAGGGAAGAAAAUGACGGUACCUGAGUAAGAAGCCCCGGCUAACUACGUGCCAGCAGCCGCGGUAAUACGUAGGGGGCAAGCGUUAUCCGGAUUUACUGGGUGUAAAGGGAGCGUAGACGGCAGUGCAAGUCUGGAGUGAAAGGCGGGGGCUCAACCCCCGGACUGCUCUGGAAACUGUAUGGCUGGAGUGCAGGAGAGGUAAGUGGAAUUCCUAGUGUAGCGGUGAAAUGCGUAGAUAUUAGGAGGAACACCAGUGGCGAAGGCGGCUUACUGGACUGUAACUGACGUUGAGGCUCGAAAGCGUGGGGAGCAAACAGGAUUAGAUACCCCAGUAGUC
rnacentral:rRNA from 1 species